UACGGAGGGUGCGAGCGUUGUCCGGAAUCAUUGGGCGUAAAGGGCGCGUAGGUGGCGCGGUAAGCGUGCGGUGAAAGCCUGGGGCUCAACCCCGGGUCGGCCGUGCGAACUGCUGGGCUUGAGCACUGUAGAGGCAGGCGGAAUUCCGGGUGUAGCGGUGGAAUGCGUAGAGAGUCCGGAAGAACACCGGUGGCGAAGGCGGCCUGCUGGGCAGUUGCUGACACUGAGGCGCGACAGCGUGGGGAGCAACAGG
rnacentral:rRNA from 1 species